rnacentral:pre_miRNA from 1 species
UACAUACUCCCUCCGUCCCAAAAUUCCUGUCUUAGAUUUUUCUAGAUAUGAAUGUAUCUAGUCAAAUUUUAGUAUUUAGAUAUAUCUAUCUCUAAACAAACCUAAGAUAAAAAAUUUGGGACGGAGGGAGUAGUCA